AGGGCAAUUAAAGGCACACAAGUCCUGUCCUCUAUUGAGUCUGACAACCCUAGCCCUAGGUCUGCCAUUUGAAACAAGCCUGCCGCAUGGAAGGUCUGGUUCCAAUUAGUCUUAAGGUUAAGGAAACAUGAUUUUUGUGUGUGUGUGAUUUCUACUAAGUUCUUGCCUUUUAUUUUGCAUUUAUAAGGAAUCUGCUUAAUAUAAAAGUGCGUGUUUAUAAUAUAAGUGAGUGUGUUCGCUGCCGAGAAGGAAAUUAUGUAGAUUUCACUCUUCUGAAAAAUAUCCCACUGCUGUGAAUGAUUAGAGGGUGUGAAACUUGGAGACUUGGCCAAUUUAAACUGCUUGAACUCUGCUGCUGAACCUCUUCAGAUAGUGGGUGGCAGCUAUAUUUUAAAGCAUGUAAGGGUUCCACCUUUUCCAGGUGAUGCCAUUUGUUUUCAGUUUCCUAUCCCCACAUUGCUAGUGUUGCCUGUGUUAAUUACUGUUUUUAAAUGGAGAAGGUUGGUAGGGGGUAUAGUUUUACUAAUUGCAUUCUAGGGUGAAAUUAUAUGAUUGAAUGCAGAGGAGAUGAGCAUUUUGUUCUGACGUUUAUGGUUUAAAGGCAUGAGAUUGUUUUUGGACACUUAUGUGUAACCAGGAGUUCAUCUUUCCCUGCUGUGGUUCUGAUUGUCGCAUAAUGACAAUUUCCCCCCCACAUCUCUCUUCCCAGUGCAUACAGGAGAUGACAGCCCAUACCUGUCUACCAUAUUGAAUGUUCAGAAGUAUGUUAGAUGCCUUGCUGUUUUGCCAAAGUUGUUGACUAUCCCAUUCCAGCAGAGCUGGGUCAUGGGAAAAAGAAAGUUAAUCUCAAAUGCAAUCAAAGUUAAUUCUUGAAUUGAGGUAAUGGACUCCACUGUUCCUUCUGCAAACAAGGGCAGGCAUUCCUAGAUUAAUGAGGUCCAUAUUCCUUGCGUCAGGUUAAUUUAUUUGAGUCAACACUUUAUAAGAACACCUGAGCACUUCUCUGGCAAGGAACUAGGAGUUGUGUUAUAAGAGUUAACCCUAGCAUGCACUUAGAUUAAAGAAAGUGCCUAUAGAUGCAAGUCUCUUGGCAUGAGGUUGCCUAUAAGAAAUGUGUCAUCCUUUCAUAGUUUGGAAAUUUUCAUACCUAUAGUAGUCCCAGCCUUUUGGCUCAGUUUGGGCAUUAGUAAUGGCUAAGACCUACGUAAAACAAUUGAAUGAAAAUUCUGCUUUCAGUACAACAUGGUCACAACUAAUUGCGGUUUGACUGGAGUCUGAACCUUUAAGUAAAACUAAUGUCAAAAGAUCGGUGAAGAACAGUGUUACAUUUGGGUUUCAGAAUUCUAGGGCCUCUCUUUUAAAUCCCCCCCCUCCAAUUUAUGAGCAUGAAAGUCAGUAAUUUGGUACUUCUUAUGAAUUUACUUUUGGUAUGUUUUAGCUCAUUAGAUUUGAUCAGCGUCUGCCUCAUCAACACGUUAAAUUGUGUCUUUAAUGCCCCUGUUCUGAAUUUUAUUUUUAGGUCCAAUUUGCAGCUGUUAGCCUGUUGGAUCAGUGACUCUUAAUGAAAAUUCAAAGCAGGUUUUGAUUAUAAAGUUUAAUGUCUCCCCAAAAGCUGUUAAGAUUUAAUGGGUUACAUCUGUAUCUUUCAUUAAUGGGCAUUUAAAACAGUAUGCACCUGUGCAAUUACUCGUUAGAGAAGGUAAAUCAAGAAUAUUAUCUAUCUUUACGCAGUGUUUCUGUUUAGUAAAACAAACAAAACACCUUUCAGAAUAUGUUGUGUUCUGUUUUCUCGGUGCUGGAGCCAAGAUGAUUUCAGGAUGGAAAAACUGACACAUUUGUGUGUGUGCGUGUUGUAAGGUUAAAUUAGUCUAGGCCACAGGUCCAUUAAAGCCACCUACCCAUUUGGCCUAUAGGUUCCCAUGCUAGUCAUUUGUGGCACAGUGAUGACCUGUAAGAGAGACAAAGCCUGGCUUAUUUUAGUUCCAGGGAAGCGGCUGGCGCUGUGGUCUAAACUAUGGAGCCUCUUGGGCUUGCCGAUUGGAAGGUCGGCAGUUUGAAUUCCUGCAACAGAGUGAGCUCCCGUUGCUCUGUCCCAGCUCCUGCCAACCUAGCAGUUUGAAAGAACACCAGUGCAAGUAGAUAAAUAGGUACCGCUGAGGCGGUAAGGUAAACGGCGUUUCCGUGUACUCUGGUUUUUGUCACGGUGUUCCAUUGUGAAGUGGUUUAGUCAUGCUGGCCACAUGACCCAGAAAGCUGUCUGUGGACAAACACAUGCCCCCUCAUCCUGAAAGUGAGAUGAGCGCCACAACCCCAUAGUACCCUUUGACUGGACUUAACCGUCCAGGGGUCCCUUACCUUUUACCUUUUUUAUUUUGGUUCCCCAGAGACAAUACUUACUCGACACAAGUAUGGGGCUGCCUGCUAGCUUGGCCAUCACCCCCUGCUGAAAUUGUUGCUAGACUUGCUCAGCUCCUCCUCCUGUUUUGGAUAUUGAUUCUGUAGUAGGCCCAAGUCUUUUGCAGACCUCAGCCUGAUAGGGCAUGUAGCUGGUGCAUCUUACAUUUUGAUGGUGCAGCCAGACGUUGCUCCUGAUGGCAUCAACACCUUUCUUCCUCCCACCCACUUUGUGAAAUUUGAUUGGGCAUUUCCCUGACCUUCGGUUCACAUCACUGGCCACUGGUAGUGCCGAGGCAAAUGCACAGUGUGAUGUCACAGAACUGAUAAGGGUGCCUACAUAUUAAAAUGGAGCUGCAGUUUUGGGAGGCUGUCCUGUGUCAAACCCAAGCACAGUGAUACCUUGCUUUGCAAACAGUCUGGUUUGCCUAUGUUUUGGAUUACAAACACGUCAAACCUGGAAGUGCGUGUCCCGGUUUGCAAACUUUUUUUGUAUUACAACCCAUUUUGGGGGGGGAUUAUGAACAUUUUUUGGGGAGGAAGCCGCAUUGGCGAAAGCGUGCCAUGGGUUACAACCUGUUUUGGUUUACAAAUGGACCUCCGGAACGGAUUAUGUUUGUAAACCAAGGUACCACUGUAUCUAAAGGUAAAGGGACCCCUGGCCAUUAGGUCCAGUCGUGACCCACUCUGGAGUUGUGGCGCUCACCUCGCAUUAUUGGCCGAGGGAGCCGGCAUACAGCUUCCAGGUCAUGUGCCCAGCAUGACAAAGCCGCUUCUGGCAAACCAGAGCAGCACAUGGAAACACCGUUUACCUUCCCGCUGUAGCGGUACCUAUUUAUCUACUUGCACUUUGACGUGGUUUCGAGUUUGGCAGGAGCCGGGACCAAGCAAUGGGAGCUCACCCCAUCGCGGGGAUUCGAACUGCCAACCGUCUGAUCAGCAAGCCCUAUGCUCUGUGGUUUAACCCACAGCACCACCCGCGUCCCCCCACCACUGUAUCUAGUUCUGCUCUAAUUGUAAUCUUAUGAGCAACACCUUUUUCUGGAAGAAGGGAACCAAACCCCUUGGCCCUUCCAGUCAUUUUUACUCUCAAUUGUUCUGACAGUGUUUUGGUAUGAUAAAUCUAUCUAAAGUGUUUGUUUCUGUGGCACUAAUUAGUUGCAUUUCUGCUCACCCAUAGAAAUAGGAUGAAAAGUUUCUCGGAACAAACUAGAAGAAUUUCAAUUAACAGCUUCAAUAAACACACAACUGUGGUUUUUUUGUAAUUCCAGAAUUGGACACAUGUUCCUUCCCAGACAUUUUUUUGCCUGAAGGUUGAUAAAAGGAAACUUAUUCAUUUUAUGCCACUUUCAACAUUCUCCACAUUGUAUGUACCGUAUAUUCCGGCGUAUAAGACGGCUGGGCAUAUAAGACGACCCCCAACUUUUCCAGUUAAAAUAUAGAGUUUGGGAUAUACUCGCUGUAUAAGAAAUACGACCCAGCAUAUAAGAUGACCCCCGACUUUUGAGAAGAUUUUCCUGGGCUAAAAAGUAGUCGUACACAGGAAUAUACAGUAAGCAUAGUGCCCAAACCAAAAAUUUAAAGCACUGUUAUGCCAUUUAAACAGCCAUGGCUCUCCACCCCUGAAUCCUGGGAACUCUGGUUUGUUACUACUGCCUAGCUAGCCGUAGCCAGGGAUGAUGGGAAUUGUAGUCCCAAAACAGCUGGACACCCAAGUUUGGGAAACCCUGGUCCAGAGGUUGUAUGUGUUUUUUAGAUUGUAAAAAAAGCACUGUGCGGUGCCAGAGAUUUAUAGUAUAUUGUUUCAGUUUGAAUAUAUAUCUCAUUUUUAGGGGGUGCAACCUAUGUGUGGGGCCAGCAUAUAAUGGACUGAUGCAGUAGUUCUCCUGAGCAUAUACAAAUACAUGAUUUGUGUCUCGGUGUGUAUGUUAAGCUGAUGGUGGUUUUAGUAAGUUGUUAUACAGCUUGCCACAGAAGUUGGUGCAGUAAAUUUCUUGCUACUUGGUUUCCUUCUCACUCAUACUUUUAAUUAUCAGUAUCUGUCACACUCGACUACUAAUUAAAAAUGAUUAGUUUACAGCUGGUUUAGCAGUUGAUGAAAAAUUGAUUCUAAAAUUAAAGUUUCCCCGAAGGCAGGCAUCUUCAGAUUCCUCUCUCUGAGGCCUUUAUUAUUGCUGUAAAGAUUCAGGGGUAAAAAUUGUUCUGUACUACAUGGCUUGGUUGCUUGAAUAUUUUAAAAUGCUGCAUAUUUAUGGCACUUGCUGCAUAACAUACAAGGAGGCAGGUUAGGCAAUGGUUUCAGUUUUCCAGGAUGCAAUCCUAUACAUUACAUUCUUACCUGGAAGGACACUUAACUGAAUCUGUAGGACUGUCUUCUGAGUAGACUUGCAUAAAGGGAGAUAAUUAGUGCCCAGUUGGUAUGAUAUGCAGCAGAAGAGCUAAUGACCAGAACAUGGGAAAUGUUCGAUCAGAUGUUCAGGUGGAUUUCAAGUCCACUUCAACAAGAUGUUCAGUGAAGUUGGUCAUACCCUAAGAUGACCUUUUGAUGUGUUUGAUUUCACUAUAAUUUUAUCCAAACACCUUCUUGCUUUUAUGGUAUCUUUCCCUUCAUCUAGACUAGUGCCAAUAGUAAAGGAACCACGGUGUCAUCGAAGUCAAAUCCAAAUCCCAUUAGAAAUGUUGAUAUAAUUUGUUCUGAAGAGAUUUGAUAAACUAGUGUGACCCCCAUCUUUGCUUACAUUCUUUGUUUCUGCAUUCCCUGUGUAUGUACAGUAUUAGUUUAUGGAACAAAUCGCAAAAGACCUUUGUUGUUGUUGUUGUUGUUCUUAUUGUUACUCUUCAUUGUACCAUGUCAAUUGCACAAAACUCAAUAAUAUGCGUAUAGAAUAUAUUGUAUAGCACAAUAUUUCCAUUAUACUAUCAAGGCCAUAUGUUCUAUUUAUAUAUGUAGGAAAAUUGUUAGGAGUCAGUUAAGAACUGGGCUCAGAUGCGAUUCAAGUGUUCUUGUCAUUGUUAAAGUAUAUUUUGCUAGGAUGCUAAAGGUUCUCAAGUGUGCAGCAAGACUUUCUGCACAUGUAGUUCCCUGCUUUGAAUUGAGACUCAAAUCUACAAACUUUAAUCAGGUUCCUGAGUUUUAUUGGCAGUUCUGGACUUUUUAUACUGGGAUCAAAGGGCUGAAUAUAAAAUUCUCCUGCCUUUGCAAACCGUUCUAUGAAAUAUGGCUAGCAGUUCCACACACUUGAGUUUAGUGAAAGAGCCUAGCCUAGCUGACACCAAGAGGUGUCAACCCCUCCUUUCCCCUCAUCAUUUCUGCACAUGUUAUCUCUUCUGAUAUUUACCUUUAAGUUUUGUUCAGCGUUGUGCAGUAAGACUUUGAUUACUGUGGUUGUCUUUGGAGCAGUGUAAUGGGAUCUUCCUCUGCCUCCAGGAUAUUCUUAGUGCAAAAAGAUAAGGUUCAAUGUAGAACUUUCUCCUGUUUGAGAGAGGAUCACAAACAUAGCAUCUCUCUUUAACUUGAUGGAUACCAAGGAUGCUAAGUUGAUACUGCUCAAGCUGUUACAAUCUUCCAUGCUCCUGCACAUUAUUUUAGCCACUGACUUCUUAGAGCAAUUUUCACUUCUAGUAUGUGACAGGUUUACUUGGUAGUUUCUUAAUCAAUGAGACAUUUCAGCUCAUCCCUAUAUAAUAUUUAUGGUUCACAGGGGAAUGCUGGAUUGAAAUAAGGGCACUUGCCUUUCUCCCAGUGGCACGUGCAUAGAAAAUGGCUUUAAGGAUUUCGAAAAGGGCUGGGUUACUACUGCCAUAUAAUAUGGGGAAAACAUCACUCCAUCUCAUAAUGCAACCUCGUGUUGGCUAUCGAUAAACGGGUGUAACCAUUGCUGUUCGUUUAUUUAAUUGAUUACAUUUGCACACUGCUCAUUGUAUCAAGUUCUCUGGGCAGGUUACAUGAACAACAAAAUAAAUUGUAGAAGCAUAAAACCUGAGAAAGGGGAAUUUGGUGCAAAACCUGAAGCACCCAAUACAGUGGUACUACUGGUUAUGAACUUAAUUCGUUCCGGAGGUCCAUUCUUAACCUGAAACUGUUCCUAACCUGAAGUACCACUUUAGCUAAUGGGGCCUCCUGCUGCUGCUGCAUCGCCAAAGCAUGAUUUCUGUUCUCAUCCUGGGGCAAAGUUCUUAACCCGAGGUACUACUUCCAGGUUAUCGGAGUCUGUAACCUGAGGUGUUUGUAACCCAAGGUACCACUGUAGAUCGUAAUUAAAGGUGCAGUGCUAGCCCCUUUUGCAGUGGGCUGGGGCUGAAUUGGGCAACAAUGCCCCUUCGCACAGCCCUGUCAACCUCUAUCUCCACCAACAGGUUCCAUUUGCUCCUAAAGCAGCUCCACUGCCGAUACGGGACAUCUGCGAGCCCGUUGAAGAAUGGAAUAUUACCAGCUCCAGGCAGUUGCAACCGUUUGCUUGCCGCCGCCGCCGCCGCCACAACCCUUUCUUUCCUGGUUGAUGUGGAUUUUGGUGGUGGAUUUUGGCAGUGGCUCCACUGCUCCAUUAAGCUGUGCUAGGAUUGUGCCUUAAGUGAUCUUUAUUUGGCACAUAAAAGGUCAUGCUGUUGGUACCAGUGAGAACCUUUGGGGAGGCCAAGUCCAUAAGUUGCUGCCUGCCUCACUUCAUUAGACUGGGGAGCCUGGAGAAGGUUCCCCAAAGAAGAUGUCAAAGUCUGUGGAGCGAAGUAUGAACCAAGUGAUCUUUCAAGUGCCUGAAGAAAUGCUUUUGAUGGACUCCACAAGAGAUUCUGGAAGGGAAAGAGGCCUGUCUGGGCUUCCUAAGUCUUAGACUAUGUUGUGCUAACCCUCCUUGUUCCAUGAUUUUAUUAAAUCCAAAUGGCUCAAGUUAGCUACCACUACAGCCUAUUCAUGAAAAGAUGUGGAGGGGUAUGAUUUCAGCAUGCUUAUUAUAUUUUUGUUUUCAAACCAGCCACAUAAUAUUACUAUCCAGAAUAAAGCCAUAACAACAUAUUCUAUGUUUGUGCAGUAGCUAAGAAGAUAUCAAAUCUAGCCAUUCCUGAUCUUGCUUGUUCCCCCAUUGCUAGGAAUGAAUGCAGUUAAUUGGCGAAAAUCUUUAUUUUUGGAGUGAUUUCAUCUCUUUAUUUUAUAGCCUAGCUAUGUUGCAUAAUGUGCUCCUAGAUAGUCAAAAGAUGCCCUCCUUGGAGGGUUGAUAUAUUUAGAACCAUGGAGUGUGCAGUCAUUUUAGUGGUCCCUCAGGUGGCAUAAAGUUUGCAACAAUAUUUUCAGUCAGUUAUCACCUGAAGUUAGCGUGUUAAAACUGUAGUCAAUAAAUAUGAGUAGUGUUCGAAGAAGACUUUUUUAAAAAAAGACAAAAAAACUAGAAAGGAAUGUGUGUUCUUAAAAAGAGCUUUUGGAUCGCUUGCAACUUGAAAGAUGAACCUGAGAGGCAAAGGAUGAUUGACUUGCAUUAGUGAAGGGAAAGAAAUCUUUAUUCUCAGCUGGAAAAGAGAGUGCACAGUCCUUUGAAGCAUUUGUUCAGACUGGAAUAAGCUGACCUUUAAGAUUUUAAGUGAGUUGAAAUCAGAAUCUUUACUGUCAGUGCACUUGAAGAUUAAGAAGACCUGGAUUUACUCUAGAACUUCUUAAAAAUGGGCUUCUAUUAUGUUGAUCAGUUUUGUUACAAUACUAGUCCAAACAGGAGCUUUUCCCCAUUGUAAAAAAUAAUCUUUUCCUUGUUUCCCCCCCUGCAAGUAAAUAUUCUGUACAGUUCAUGAUACAGUUUCCAUCACAGUAUAUUGUCCUAAAUAAAAAAAAAUCUAUUCGGGCUGUUAAAACUGUAUUGCAGAAAUGUCAAUUUUGAUAACAUGGGUGACUAUAUGGUAUUCUAUAUCUGAGCGUAAUGUGCAUAUAUUUUAUAAGGGGCUAUCUCCAAUGAAGCAAACAUUUAUGGUGAAAAAUAAUUUUAAGUGCCUUUGCAUUUGGAGGUAGCAAACUAUUUGUGUUCAUAUAGGCACCUGAGUACGAGAUGUAGGUUAUUGUGCAGAAGGUGGGUUUUUUUUUUUGAAAGAAUUGAAAUAAUUUCAUUUUGGAUAUGAUUUUAUUCUUAGGUGGUAUACUACAGAACCAUUUUAAAGGCUUGAAUCCAAAGAAAUAAUGCGAUUGUGAAUCAGGAAACCAGAUGUACAUCAGGAAAAAAUUAAUCUGCAGCAGCAGCAGCAGCUGCUGCUUCAGUAGAGGCUAGCCUCUUAAAACAUAGCCCAGUGGCUUACCUCUUCAGGGAUGACAGCUCCUGGAGAGAAAUUGCACAAUAAAUCUUUGGUUAGGCUACCUGCUUACUUGCAGUUGGAUUGACUAAUUAGGUUGUGGCCAAUAUUAGUAGUUCAUGGAUGGUAUAUCAUGGCUUGGAGCAGCUCAUGAAUAUUGAAAAUCCUAGAAAAGCUUAUAAUUUUUUAAUGACCCUUGUUGAAAGGUCGAACGCAGCAUUUAUGAUCUUAUUUCUCCGCAGUAAUUAGCAGUCAGAAUGAAUAAGUGUGCCAAUUUCAUAAAAUAGCAGCUCAUUGGGGGUGCUGAAAAUUAAUUCUGUCCUCCAAUUAGAACCACCUGUAUUGUGCUAAACGACAGAUUUCUAGCUCUGUAAAAAAAAAUUUUUGGCAAAGUUUCCAAUUCAUUUCCAAUUUAGAAAAAACACACAAUUGCGAUGCCUGACUCGGACAUUUGUCAAAAUCCUAUUUCCUGAAAGGUAACCUGAACUGUGUUCUUAUAUUAUACCCGAGUGAAGAUUUAGUAACUUCUAAAUUGCAUCUCAAGUAGGUCUGAAUUAACAGUUAAAUAAACUGGAGGAAGUUCACAUAUGCAGUCAGUCUUGCUUUUAUGAUCUGGUGUGUGGUGCCAUUUUGCCUGUUGCACAGAGAAAUCCUAAGCGCAGGAAGAGGGAGAGAAUGAAGUACAGCAGCUCCAAGUUAAUGGGCUCUGGACCUCUGAGGAGAACAGGGGACCUUUGGACCCAGUCCUCUUCCCCAUAAUGUCUUGUUUUGGGGCCUACUGCCAGUGGUAGACUGAUGCCAGUGAACUUUCCAUGGGUGUACCAAGUGCCAGUGGGUUGAAACCCUACCAGUAGAAUGGCAUUUCUAAUGUCUCAGAGCCAGGAGAUCUGGGUGUUUGAAAUGUUCUAGCAAGACGCAAGGAUGUACUUGCCAAGACUAAACUUAUCAGGAAAGGAGAUUGUGGGUUCAAGUUGUGCAGUGUUAAUCCAUUUUAAAUAUCUAAGAGAGUAUAGCUGUUGUUACAUAUAUGGACACAUUUUGCAAACUUUCCCCCUCCAUUUAUAUUUUUUCACAGCUAAUUACAGAAAUAACAUCUUUUAAAACACCAUUUCUAGUAUUUUGAUGCGGUUCUCCUUUAGCUCGCUUGUGGUAUCUCCGUAACCUAAUAUAUGUUUUCCCAUUCCAUCCGCACAGAGUGCAUUUUAUUUCAUAUAGCCAUCCCCAUUUAAAACUGUAAAGGAACUGAAUAUUCAACUCUUUGGAAUUGGAUAUAAUUUAAGAGCUAUUGUAAUGUGGAGUAUUCUACUCAAGUAAUUUAGUUCAUUGAAAUUGUGUGUGUGUGAGAGAGACUACACAUUCCAAACUAAUUUUGUAACUCUUUUGGCCCCGUAUUUUAUUAUAAUUUUUUAUAGUACAUGUAAAGCAUAACCAUGAUUAUUAAGGAAGCUGAGUUACAGUCUGUUGCAUCCCUUCCCUGGGAUGUUUAUACAUAGGCAUGCCGGCAAAAUGUGUACUAUCCCUCUGUAAGUAGACUGAUUAUAAAGACAUAGCAACAUUUGCUACAUUCAGACAUAAUGUUUUUAACCAUAAUGAAAAACCUCAUUGUAAAUCACAAUAGGUAAAGGUAAAGGGACCCCUGACAGUUAAGUCUAGUCGCAAACGACUUGGGGGUUGUGGCGCUCAUCUCGCUUUACUGGCUGAGGGAGCCAGCGUUUGUUCGCAGACAGCUUCCGGGUCAUGUGGCCAGCAUGACUAAGCCACUUCUGGCAAACCAUAGCAGUGCAUGAAAAUGCCGUUUACCUUCCCGCCAGAGCAAUACCUAUUUAUCUACUUGCACUUUGAUGUGCUUUCGAACUGCUAGGUUGGCAGGAGCAGGGACUGAGCAACAGGAGCUCACCCUGUUGUGGGGAUUUGAACCAUCGACCUGAUCGGCAAGCCCUAGGCUCAGUGGUUUUUUAGACCACAGCGCCACCCUAGUCAGAUACAAUUGUUUUCUCAUUAACCGUUGUUAAACAUUAUGCCUGCAGAGGGGCUUUUAGAAAGAAAACCGCACUGAAAACACUUCAAUAUUUCUCAAAACAUUCCCUCUCGCUUGCUACAUCUUCUUUAUUGAUUAUGAUGCAUAAAUUACCAUGGAAAUUGCCUGUAGUUCAGUAAACUUGUGUAUUGAUCAGAUACCUGUGAGAUACUUCUUGGUUGCUACUUUGUUAAGAUUAUUUUCACUGAAAUAGCUUUUCUGCUUUUUAUUUAAGCCAGCGUGCUUCAUAGUAAUUCACUAGUUUGUUCAGCCAAACUGGGACCUGUUUAUACCAGAGGGAGGCAUAACGUCAGUGGUAUUAGAUGUGAAUUUUGCCAUAUUUCCUUCCCGCUGGUGGCAGAAUACUCUCCAAUAUACUAUAAUGGGAGUAACUGCUGCUAUUAACUACUGUAAGGUUGAGUCUUGUAUGUCCCUGAAAUCAAUUAAUUCUACAGUGGUAUACUGCCAGUCUAAGAACUACUGCCAAAAAGAAAAGAAAAGAAAAGAAAAGAAAAGAAAAGAGAGAGUCUAAUCUCAAAUGAGCCCAUAAACUGCUAGCAAGGCCUGUGGAUAAAAAGCAGGAUGCAGAAGUUGUACAAUGUUAUUUUUAAACGUAGACACUGAACUGUCAGCAGUGGAAAAGCAGUUUCGCUUGGAAUAAAUGCUUCCAGACCCAGAACCACCCACACGGUAAGGGGCUUUUGCCAGCGGAAAUGAAAUAUAAUGCAUCCUACACUUCUCUGGGAAUGUUCACAGGCUAUGAUAUCACUAAUAUAUUGCCAGCCAUCAACUGCAGACUCAAAUACAUGGCUUUAAUAUAAUGGCUCUGAAUUAAAUGUUAAGUUGCUUUCCCGAUGCAUAAUUAACUAAAGGAAUUCUGUAGCACAAGUUAUGGUGAUGGCCACUCCCUUAUAUCCAUACUUAAUCCUUUUUUAAAACAAUCUAUCAUUUUGCAUCAAGCUAUGACAGACGUGGGUGGCGCUGUGGGUUAAACCACUGAGCCUAGGGCUUGACGAUCAAAAGGUUGGCGGUUCGAAUCCCCGCAACGGGGUGGGCUCCCAUUGCUCUGUCCCAGCUCCUGCCAACCUAGCAGUUCGAAAGCACGUCAAGUAGAUAAAUAGGUACCGCUACAGCGGGAAGCUAAACAGCGUUUCUGUGUGCUGCUCUGGUUCGCCAGAAGCGGCUUUGUCAUGCUGGGCACAUGACCUGGAAGCUGUACGCCGGCUCCCUCGGCCAAUAAAGCGAGAUGAGCGCCGCAACCCCAGAGUCGGUCACGACUGGACCUACUGGUCAGGGGUCCCUUUACCUUUAUGACUGCUAAAUGGAGCCCUGUGUUUGGAGAACAGCACAUUCCUGAAUACCAAAUAUGGUGGACAAAUGAGAACAGAAGGAUCCCAAGAGGCAUGUGGUAGUACUCUAUUGGGGAUAGGAUACUGGACUAGAUCUAGGUCUGAUCCAGCAAAUAUAUUUUUAUUUCUUCUUAGGUUACAUUUACACGAGUUCCAUCAUUUGCAUAUCCACAGUACUCUAUAAAGUUGUGUAACACACAGCCCGUUACUAAUAUUUUUUCCAAUUAUAUUAUAUUAUA